rnacentral:rRNA from 1 species
UAGGGAAUAUUGGUUAAUGGGCGAAAGCCUGACCCAGCAACGCCGCGUGCGCGAUGAAGGCCUUCGGGUUGUAAAGCGCUUUUAAGUGGGAUGAGGAAGGACAGUACCACUAGAAUAAGUCUCGGCUAACUACGUGCCAGCAGCCGCGGUAAUACGUAGGGUGCGAGCGUUAAUCGGAAUUACUGGGCGUAAAGCGUGCGCAGGCGGAUUGUUAAGCAAGAUGUGAAAUCCCCGGGCUUAACCUGGGAAUGGCAUUUUGAACUGGCAAUCUAGAGUGCGUCAGAGGGGGGUGGAAUUCCACGUGUAGCAGUGAAAUGCGUAGAGAUGUGGAGGAACACCAAUGGCGAAGGCAGCCCCCUGGGAUGACACUGACGCUCAUGUACGAAAGCGUGGGUAGCAAACA